UGGGGAAUAUUGGACAAUGGGGGCAACCCUGAUCCAGCAAUGCCGCGUGAGUGAGGAAGGCCUUAGGGUUGUAAAGCUCUUUCGCCCGCGACGAUGAUGACGGUAGCGGGAGAAGAAGCCCCGGCUAACUUCGUGCCAGCAGCCGCGGUAAUACGAAGGGGGCGAGCGUUGUUCGGAUUUACUGGGCGUAAAGGGCGCGCAGGCGGCUCUGUUUGUCAGGCGUGAAAGCCCCGGGCUCAACCUGGGAAUGGCGCUUGGGACGGCGGAGCUGGAGAUCGGGAGAGGAGAGUGGAAUUCCCAGUGUAGAGGUGAAAUUCGUAGAUAUUGGGAAGAACACCGGUGGCGAAGGCGGCUCUCUGGACCGAUACUGACGCUGAGGCGCGAAAGCGUGGGGAGCAAACAG
rnacentral:rRNA from 1 species